UUGAGAUUAGCUCAGCUGGUCAGAGCCUGGUGCUAAGAACACCACGGCUGGUGGUUCAACCCCAGCCAUUCACU